UACAGAUCUUUCACAUAUAGA
rnacentral:piRNA from 1 species